rnacentral:rRNA from 1 species
AAAUUGAAGAGUUUGAUCAUGGCUCAGAUUGAACGCUGGCGGCAGGCCUAACACAUGCAAGUCGAACGGUAACAGGAAGAAGCUUGCUUCUUUGCUGACGAGUGGCGGACGGGUGAGUAAUGUCUGGGAAACUGCCUGAUGGAGGGGGAUAACUACUGGAAACGGUAGCUAAUACCGCAUAACGUCGCAAGACCAAAGAGGGGGACCUUCGGGCCUCUUGCCAUCGGAUGUGCCCAGAUGGGAUUAGCUAGUAGGUGGGGUAACGGCUCACCUAGGCGACGAUCCCUAGCUGGUC